rnacentral:rRNA from 1 species
UUGAAGCUGGAGCUUGCUCCGGCCGAUUUAGUGGCGGACGGGUGAGUAACGCGUGGGUAACCUGCCUCAUACAGGGGGAUAGCAGUUGGAAACGACUGGUAAAACCGCAUAAGCGCACGGUGUCGCAUGACACAGUGUGAAAACACUCCGGUGGUAUGAGAUGGACCCGCGUCUGAUUAGCUAGUUGGUGAGGUAACGGCCCACCAAGGCGACGAUCAGUAGCCGGCCUGAGAGGGUGAACGGCCACAUUGGGACUGAGACACGGCCCAAACUCC